AUUGAACGCUGGCGGAAUGCUUUACACAUGCAAGUCGAGCGGCAGCACGGGGGCAACCCUGGUGGCGAGCGGCGAACGGGUGAGUAAUGCAUCGGAACGUACCCAGUCGUGGGGGAUAACUGUCCGAAAGGACAGCUAAUACCGCAUACGUCCUGAGGGAGAAAGCGGGGGACCGUAAGGCCUCGCGCGAUUGGAGCGGCCGAUGCUCGAUUAGCUAGUUGGUGAGGUAAAGGCUCACCAAGGCGACGAUCGAUAGCUGGUCUGAGAGGAUGAUCAGCCACACUGGAACUGAGACACGGUCCAGACUCCUACGGGUGGCAG
rnacentral:rRNA from 1 species